GUUGGGAUUUGCUUCGACGAGGGAUACGGAUAAAAUACAAGCGUAAAACCUCGUUUGUUGCAGUAUAUUCUGGACAUAUAAACAAUUUAUUAGGAAAAUACGUUCAAGAAACGUCUCGUGCUGUACUAGCCUAAUUCUGGCAAAUGUUAUUUACUUUCUUCACCUUCGUGUCGAAGACUGUUGUUUGCUGAUGGCCAAAUCACGACAGCGGACAUCAAUUAUUCAAAAUAUGUUCUUAUAGCUUCACGUUUACGAUACGAAACACGUUUUAAUGUAAGAUUAUUUAUUUUUUGUAUAUGUAGGUUGUAGUUGAAAGUGACAGCGACAAUGAAAAAAGUGCAAACAACAUUGAAAUAUCCAGUUCACUACUAGCUCAAAUCCUGCGACAUAUCACUUGCUAGUAGCCCAGUCUAGUUUAACCUUUCCCAAUCAAGAAUCAUCUCCUGAAUCAGGCAUACUGGCAACACUGGUUCAUUUGAUAAUGUAAGUUUUUAAACUGGUAUUUUAGAUUUAUAUAGCCUCGGUCAAAUGAGGAUGAAAGUCAUGCAUGAAUUGCUUAUAAAUACACAAAGGACAUUUCAAGUUCCACAUGAACAAAAUAUUAUUAAAGCUUUGAUGAGUGUUCCAACUAUGUUUCAACUUAAUUAAAAUACUCUCAUCCUCGUUUGAUCCAUAAUUAUUUGUUGAUUUUACUCGAUACUAAAUAGUGAAACAUCGAAUCCAGAUAAAAUCUUAUGCAGAACCCACUGUAAUUCCGAGCUGUAAUCACAUAAUUAUAUAAAAGUCGUUUCAGUAGCAGCAAAAGCCAAACUAAACACCAACUAGGAUUAAUAGGUUUAGCUUUUAGGCCGAGAAUAAUACACGAUUGACAAUUUUGUGGCUGAUUGAAUUAAUAGUAUACUGUAUAUUGAUGUUGUUGUAUACAGGACAUCUGACUUACAUGUCAAAUUAAUAGUCGAAUCUAUGAUUAUAUUGAGCAUGGCAGAUUUGACAUUUGAAACAUUGUUGAUGUUAAUAACCCAAUGAGUCGCAUUGCGCCCUGAUGCGCACUAAGUAUUUAUUAUUUUACUCUGGUUAUCUAACGCUAGGCAAUUUUACUCAUCAAGGGGAGAGCACUGGCGGUUAAUGUGUUAACUAGCUUAUCUGCCCAUGUUUACAGUUAACCCAUCGAGUCGCAUUGUGCCCUAAUGCGGCCUAAUUUAUUAUUUUACUCUGCCUAUCGCAGGACAAUUUUACUCAUUAAGGGCAGAGCGCUGGCGCUUAAUGUGUUAACUGGCCUAUCUGCCCAUGUGUCUAGUUAACCCAUUGAGUCGCAUUGCGCCCUAAUUUAUUAUUUUACUCUUUCUAACGCCAGACAAUUUCACUCAUUAAGGGGAGAGCACCGGUACUUAAUGGGUUAACUGUCCUAUUUGCCCAUGUUUAUAGUUAACCCAUUGAGUCGCAUUGCGGCCUACUUUAUUUAUUUUACUCUGUCUCGAGAGGAGAACGCUGGUGCUUAAUGGGGUUAAUAUUGAAAAUAUAGAUCAACAUUUGUCAAAACUCAUGACUUGUGCAAUCAUUUCUGUAAUAAUUAAGAUAUUAAAAUACCAAAUAUAAUGCCUUUUGGCUUAUUUCAAAUAGGGAGAUGCUAUGUGACUAUGUCCAUUGAAACUGGAUUUGUUGUAGCUACAUCAAAUAAAUGCUAGCCAAAAACAUAUUCAAGUCAAUCGAAGAGAAUGUAGAAUUGCACUUUACAUAAAAUUCCCUAGUUAUUGUACAUUAAUGAAAAAGCAUUUGAAAUGGAAAUAUAUUGUUUUAAUUUUAUUUCUAUGGUUUGUACUAUGAUAUACAUGGGCUAUACACUCUUUGGGAACCCGCAGGGCUGUUGGCAGAGCAUUUCCAUGAUCUGGAACUUCAGUCCUAAACACGAUGUGUGGGUGCGAAGAUGUUGUGUAGGAACAGAACUGUACAGAUUAGAAAUAUGAUUACUGAUAUUUUCCAAAGAAAAACUAUUAAUAUAUAGAAGAGGAAAGAAAGAGGCAAUAAAUAGCCCAAAGUAUCUGUUGUACAUUUGAAAUUUAAAAAUGGUAGGCUUAUUAAGGAUGAGAUACAGAGAAAAACAGUAAUGCAGAACUACAUUCUCUUAAAUUGUCAAAAUUAAACGCUACCAGUCUUGGUCUCGUUUCAAACUUGAAUAACGAAAAGUCUAAAAAUAUAAAAACUAUAAGAACAGAUCAGCUAAGUCCAGUUAUAAAAUUAAAUGAUGAAGGAAAGCUGUCAUUUUAGGAAAGUAUUGUUUUGGGGUGUGUGAACUCAUGAGGUUACAUGUUUCUGGUGAAUCUGCUUGCUGCAGCAAAAAUUUAUUAAUUGUUUGUGACAUAAUUCACAAGAUGUCUAUUUUAACCUGUGGGUUGCCAAACUUCUUAAAUAUGGAAUUUGUUUUGUCUGACCAAGAUAUAAUGAAUACCACUAGUGACAUGAGUAUGUCCAAUUAAUAUUUAACUAGAAAUAAAUGCAUGCAGCAACCCCUAGCCUAUAUUUUCCAAACAUUGAUUUAACAUGAACUAUUAGCAAUUGGCCAGCACUGAACACAGGCUCACGUUGUGUCAAGUGUUGUCAAGGCAACAUAAUGUCACAUUAUAUUUUAAAUUUUUUUGAGUAAUUUUGCAAGUGUUCAUACCACAGCAUCUACCAUACAUAAUUUUAAACAAAUAGAUAGGUGAAGUAAUUCAAACAAAAUGAUUUUGAACUUUAUUACUCUACUCUGUCGAACGCCUAUUCUACUCGUAAAGGGGAGAGCCCUGGUGCUUAAUGGGUUAAAUAAGAUUGUAUAGUUAUAUGUAUAUCAUGUAUUAUGUUUUUAUGCAGUCUCCCUGAACCACUUGUACCAGGCUAUGGAAAUUCAUGUUUCCAAUUUUGUAUUUAUUUUUCUUAUGAUACAGUAUACUGUAAAUUUGAAUAAUAUUUGUGUGCUUGUAUACUUAAUGCUUUUGGAAGGGUUAUAGGGGUCGGGUUUGAUAUACUUUUUCAGGUAUUUUGUGUCUGAUGUAUGUAAGAGCUUUAUUAUUGGGUUUCUUGGUGAGACCUUAUAUCUUAUGUGUCCUAUAACCCUCUGUAAUUGCGGAUUAUUGCAUACAUUCUAAUUGUAUUUUUUUUUGUAGGAGUCCAAAGAUGCAAAUGAUACAAUUUCAAACUUAUCACAACCCAUAUUGUGGCCGCUGGCAGCGAACUAGAAUACGACUAGAAACUGUCAAUCAUACGUUAUCGAGGGAAAGGAUGAAAGUUCCAUAACAAGCAACAGUUGUUUUGAUGCAAUUAUCGCCUUAUUGGCAAGUUUUUACAUCUUCAAUAUUGAGUACUGCCACACGAAGAGCAUCUUGUCUGCCUUGCAGACUAUAGUAGUGCAUGGCCAACACAGAAAAUGGCAUACAACUGCCAAUAGUGAGUUUAAGCAAGUGAUGUUUUUGACAACACGGACGUCGACCGGAGGUAAAGUUGACGUUUUUCACCAAUCACAGUCCUUGACCCAGUCUUCUGACGUUGCUCAUGCCGUCAGUGUUGUAAAAAACGUCACGUGCUUAUUGCUUAAGCUCACUAAUGAGGGUCACAGCCCUCUUCAAUGACUUGUCAUGACUCAUGAAUAUUAGUACUACAGUAAUUUUACACUUUUUGAGAGUUAUGUUGACAUAUGCUAACCCAAGUUAAUGUUAUCGAUGGAAUGUGUGUAUUGUCUCACAUCUCACCGAACUGUGGUAAUGUAUUAGAAAUUAUUCGUAUUGCGUUCACGUUAACAACCGCGCCUGCUAUUGCUAUCACAAGUUGAUUGCUCUUUAAAAUUAGAAUUGUAAACUUUCGGAGCCAUAUGGCAUAUAUGUACGAAUAUUUUGAUGGUUCCCAUAUUUCGGUGAGAUACAUAAUACUGACUAGAAAUACAUGCAUGCAGCAACCCCUCGCCUUUUUUAACAGAUGAAGUAGAGAAAUUCCAUUCAACAUGAAGUACUCCAUGUUCAAAAUAAUAAUAGUCGCUAUGGUAACAUGAAAAUAAUAUGAGAAAAUAAUAGGAGAUAAUUUUUUACCAAAAGAAUCGUUCAUUUUCAUAAUUUGUUAUUCAAAGGAAUGUAGUUUUAUGUCACAUGUGGCUU